AUCCGAAUGACGAGUCCCAAAUAGGACGAAAAUACGCGUCCUGGAU
rnacentral:hammerhead_ribozyme from 1 species